UACGUAGGGCGCAAGCGUUGUCCGGAAGUAUUGGGCGUAAAGAGCUCGUAGGCGGCUUGUCACGUCGGUUGUGAAAGCCCGGGGCUUAACCCCGGGUCUGCAGUCGAUACGGGCUAGCUAGAGUGUGGUAGGGGAGAUCGGAAUUCCUGGUGUAGCGGUGAAAUGCGCAGAUAUCAGGAGGAACACCGGUGGCGAAGGCGGAUCUCUGGGCCAUUACUGACGCUGAGGAGCGAAAGCGUGGGGAGCGAACAGG
rnacentral:rRNA from 1 species